UGGGUUUAUUAUACGGGUGCAAGUGGUCCUCUCUUCAAUUACAAAAAGGGAAACACUGCGUGGGGUGUCCAUCUGUAGAUAGCGUCAAGACAGGUGUUCGUUCGCUUCACUCACAGAAAUUAUUAAUUCACUCCACAUUUGAACGGUGGUAGUUUGCCACUAAACCAGUGGAGUUAUGUCGGUUCUACUUAUGACUAUGAUACUGUUAUUGUAAGAUUGUGGGUGGAUGGAAGACAAACCGCUCAAUCUAGUAUUGGAAGAGUCCACCUUUCCACUCAGGACGAGGUCCGGAUGGGUGCACAAGACGGGGAUAUUCGGCGUUUCCGAGGAAGAAUUGCUGCUAUGCAACUUUAUAACGUGGCUUUAACUGCAGAGCAGAUAAAUGUAUUGAAAAAGCUGAUGCUUGCGAUAAGUUGAAAGCGUGCCAGAAUGGGGCUGCAUGCAUUCCUUCUGGUGAUGGUUAUACAUGCUCCUGUGGUGUUGGAUUCUAAGGAACCAACUGCGAACACGAUGUUGAUGAAUGCCAAACCUCAAACCCAUGCCAAAAUGGCGGACAAUGCGAGGACACAGCUGGAAGCUAUCAAUGCAAAUGCAAGCCUGGAUUUACAGGCCGAAAUCGCGAAAC